UAGGGAAUCUUCGGCAAUGGACGAAAGUCUGACCGAGCAACGCCGCGUGAGUGAAGAAGGUUUUCGGAUCGUAAAACUCUGUUGUUAGAGAAGAACAAGGACGUUAGUAACUGAACGUCCCCUGACGGUAUCUAACCAGAAAGCCACGGCUAACUACGUGCCAGCAGCCGCGGUAAUACGUAGGUGGCAAGCGUUGUCCGGAUUUAUUGGGCGUAAAGCGAGCGCAGGCGGUCUGUCAAGUCGGAUGUGAAAUCCCCGGGCUCAACCUGGGAACUGCAUUCGAAACUGGCAGGCUAGAGUCUGUAGAGGGGGGUAGAAAUCCAGGUGUGGCGGUGAAAUGCGUAGAGAUCUGGAGGAAUACCGGUGGCGAAGGCGGCCCCCUGGACAAAGACUGACGCUCAGGUGCGAAAGCGUGGGGAGCAAACAGG
rnacentral:rRNA from 1 species